GUCGUCGUCGUCGCCGCCGCCGCCGGUGGUGGUGUCAAUGCUGCUGCUUUCGUGGCUGUGGCAAUUAAAACGCGCAAAUAUGCGCAAAAACCUCGGUGCAAUGCAACUUCGUUUUUUGUCACCGCCUGCAAUCGGCAAAUAACCCAAUUUCAGCGACUGGUUGACAUUUUCAAAGGCCUGCAAAGAUAGUUCGGUGUGAAGUUUAUCGACUGCAACUUUCUACGAGGCAUCUAUCCUAUCAAUCCCUCUGAGCAAUCCCGAGCCAACUGGACCCAACUGACUGGCUGACUUUCCCAACUGCCUGGAUGGAUGGACUCCGCCAAAGAUAGCCAGUCGUGCGUUGGAUGCGACACUCGUGGUCGCAGUUAUCAGUUAUCUAAGCGUCUUCCUUUUGACGCAGCGAUAAGACCACAUCAUCACAAUCACCACAGCAUUAUCGCCAGACUAUCCGGGGAUUUAUCUUAGAGUGCUACUGGUUCUGACUGCUCAACCCAAAGGGGGGUUAAGAAACUACUAUCGUUGAGAUACAUACAUAUCACUUGAAUUAGUCGGGGAAUUACUUAAGUUAUGUAAGUCUAAACUUCAUGAUUGAAGCUAUUUUUGGGAUGGACAAGUCUAUUUUGCCACCCCUUUUGUGACACACCCAUGUUUUAUUUGUUUAUUUUAUUAUUUUGAUUUUGUUUGUGCAUAUUAUUUACAAUUUAUGUCAACGUCAGAAGUGGAAGUACUCAUUCGUUUAGUAUGUAAGCAGAUUGCAAAGCUCAGGAGCGGUUUACUUCAAAAUUCAUUCCUCUUUAAGAUAUAGACUUUGCCUUGGUGUUUUGAUCAUUUCUACAAUGAAUUAAAAGAAAUAUGCCAAUUUGUUGUUCAGCUGACAGAUUUAA